GAGUUCAGGAUCACACAAUUUUGUUCUUAACUUUCUCCUGGCAUUAUUAUGGGUCUUUGCAGUGCCCUUCAACACAUCUAUAUUUGUACAACUCAUUCUAAUGUCUCCAACAAUGCAAAGUUAAAACCAUGGAGCUUGAAGUUCAGCUGUUGAUAGUCGAGCUAGUGGCUUGAUGGCAUAAUGAAGCCCCUUCAAAAGGAGAGCAUGUCACCUACAUCUCAUGUAAACAUUAGCUCUUUUCUUCCCUUUCAUUUCAUUUUUUCUUCGUUCGAUCUUUG
rnacentral:misc_RNA from 1 species